rnacentral:rRNA from 1 species
CCUGCGGUUUAAUCGGACUCAACGCCGGGAAGCUCACCGGAUAAGACAGCGGAAUGAUAGCCGGGCUGAAGACUCUGCUUGACUAGCUGAGAGGAGGUGCAUGGCCGUCGUCAGUUCGUACUGUGAAGCAUCCUGUUAAGUCAGGCAACGAGCGAGACCCACGCCAACAGUCGCCAGCAUGUCCUCCGGGAUGGUGGGGACACUGUUGGGACCGCCUCUGCUAAAGAGGAGGAAGGAAUGGGGCAACGGUAGGUCAGCAUGCCCCGAAUUAUCCGGGCUACACGCGGGCUACAAUGGUCAGGACAAUGGGCAUCAACACCGAAAGGUGAAGGCAAUCUCUUAAACCUGUCCUUAGUUCGGAUUGUGGGCUGCAACUCGCCCACAUGAAGCUGGAAUCUGUAGUAAUCGCGUCUCAAAAUGGCGCGGUGAAUAUGUCCCUGCUCCUU